AGAAUAAGUACUGUGCAUAAGGCAGCAGGUAAUUGCAGGGGGCGGGGAUUUCCUCCACCAGCUGCAAUUACCUGCUGCCUUAUGCACAGUUCUUAUUCUGCUG